GUCCACGCCUUAAACGGUGCGCACUAGGUGUGGGAGGUAUCGACCCCUCCUGUGCCGACGCUAACGCAUUAAGUGCGCCGCCUGGGAAGUACGGCCGCAAGGUUGAAACUCAAAGGAAUUGACGGGGGCCCGCACAAGCGGUGGAGGAUGUGGUUUAAUUCGACGCAACGCGAAGAACCUUACCUAGGCUUGAACCGCUGGGUAAACCCUUGGAAACAGGGGCUGGUAGCAAUACCGACCCAGUAGAGGUGCUGCAUGGCUGUCGU
rnacentral:rRNA from 1 species